CACUGUCUGGUAACAAUCAUGAUUUUUUGACCUAAAAAGGCAACAUAAAUCUGUUUUCAGGACAUUGCAUAGCCAGACAGACGGAUGGGCCAUCAACAACUCAGCAAUGGCACAAUGUCACAUUGAAUUCCAUGGCAAACCAAUGCCAUUCAAAGCCGAGAGAAACAAAACAGAAAGACGAAACCCAAAACAAAAAUAAAACAACGUAAAUAUAUUGAGACAUUUAUAUUCCACUGGGGAAAUGCAUGGAUCCCCUCUUAUAAAAGGGGAGCUACUGCGGAAAAGGUCCUCUAAAAGGGCAUUCGGUGGGGCACAAGAACAAUUUCAAUGUCCCUUCCUUUAGCCUUGUCUGUGGAAGUGUGGAAUACAAACGCAUGAAAAAGGCCACGAGGAGGAAAUGGAAAACAAAAAAUGACUAUAAUUUUUAAUUUGUGUAAAGCAGAGUAUUAAACUUUCCUUUUCUUUGCUCCUA